GGCUCUUAUGAAUCACAUAUUUCAACCCUAUUUGAGGAAGUUUGUGUCAGUAUUCUUUGAUGAUAUCCUCAUAUAUAGCUCAUCACGGGAACAACAUUUGCAAAACUUGGAAUUAGUGUUUGAAGUGUUGAAACAACAACGGCUGUAUGCCAAACUCAGUAAGUGUCCAUUUAGCAAAACUGAGAUAGAUUAUUUGGGCCUUAAUAUAUCUGAAAAGGGAGUUGCCACAGACCCUGCCAAGAUUCAAGCUGUUACGUAUUGGCCAACCCCUAAAUCAGUGAA
rnacentral:misc_RNA from 1 species